CGAUGGCGAUGCAUGCCGCUUGGGUUUUCUCGCUCUCAACGAAACAGACGGAGUAAUGAGAUCGUGUUUAUUUCGAUCGAUUAAUUCAGACCCCCACUUCAAUCUCUUCAAUGCAUCGUUUGUCGCUGGGACUCGAUGUGAGAUCCGUAUAAAUAGGAGGAUCUUCUUCUCCGACUUGAAGCCUGGCGGUUGCUCCUCCGUCGUCGAGGCUAGGCUGCUGUGAUAUGCUCCUGGUCGAUGGAAUAGCUUUUGUAAACUGGGAAAACAUUGAAAUAGUUCUUGAAAAAGAGUUGCAGAGCUAAGGGUUUGACCUUCCACCCCAAAAGACCAUGGAAUCUCGCCAAAUUACACAUAGGUGUCAUCCAGCUCUGGGAUUAUUGAAUGGGCACUUUGAUCGAUACAGUUGACGAUCACGAAGGCCCUGUUCAGACCCUGUUCGUUCUCACUCCAUAGCCUUUCUUCCUCUCAAGAGGUCUAAAACUGUUUGUCUCAGUGCUUUUGAAGUUCAGGCCAGCCAACUUCACCAGAGCUUACUUAGGGUGCAUGUGGGACUACUGUCAUUGUUGCCACCAGAAUUAGUCCCAAGUUUGUUGGAGGUCGCAGAUUCAUGAUGAUUCAAGUUUAUAUUUUCUGGAACUUGCAAAUAAAGAGAUGUUGACUUGACCAACCGCUGGUUUGGGCGAGUCUGGAGCUAGCUGCUCCACAAGUACUACUAAAUAUGAUGGUGUAAAGAAAAUUUAGUUAACUUAACAGCAAACAGUUCGUUAAAACACAGUUCAAAGAAUUUUAAUAUACUUCAACUUUCACGACGA